UGGCUCAGAUGGUAAAGCGUCUGUCUACAAUGCAGGAGACCCAGGUUCGAUCCCUGG
rnacentral:tRNA from 1 species